rnacentral:rRNA from 1 species
GGCGAACGCUGGCGGCGUGCCUAAUACAUGCAAGUUGAGCGCUGAAGGUUGGUACUUGUACCAACUGGAUGAGCAGCGAACGGGUGAGUAACGCGUGGGGAAUCUGCCUUUGAGCGGGGGACAACAUUUGGAAACGAAUGCUAAUACCGCAUAAAAACUUUAAACACAAGUUUUAAGUUUGAAAGAUGCAAUUGCAUCACUCAAAGAUGAUCCCGCGUUGUAUUAGCUAGUUGGUGAGGUAAAGGCUCACCAAGGCGAUGAUACAUAGCCGACCUGAGAGGGUGAUCGGCCACAUUGGGACUGAGACACGGCCCAAACUCCUACGGGAGGCAGCAGUAGGGAAUCUUCGGCAAUGGACGAAAGUCUGACCGAGCAACGCCGCGUGAGUGAAGAAGGUUUUCGGAUCGUAAAACUCUGUUGGUAGAGAAGAACGUUGGUGAGAGUGGAAAGCUCAUCAAGUGACGGUAACUACCCAGAAAGGGACGGCUAACUACGUG